GAAACACGGACCAAGGAGUCUAACAUGUGCGCGAGUCACUCAGUCUUGAAUAGGCUAGAGGGGCGCAAUGAAAGUGAGCAGUUAAUGCGAGUUACGAUCUCCGGGCAGGCUUUAAUCGGUCGCCGGAGCGCAGUAACGACCCACCUAUUCCGUUUAUCGGCGGUUUGGUGGAGUUUGAGCGUACACGUUGGUACCCGAAAGAUGGUGAACUAUGCCUGGGCAAGACGAAGCCAGAGGAAACUCUGGUGGAGGUCUGUAGCGAUUCUGACGUGCAAAUCGAUCGUCAGACCUGGGUAUAGGGGCGAAAGACUAAUCGAACCAUCUAGUAGCUGGUUCCCUCUGAAGUUUCCCUCAGGAUAGCAGGCAUUGGAUGAGAACUCAGUUUCAUCCGGUAAAGCGAAUGAUUAGAGGCAUUGGGGACGAAACGUCCUCAACCUAUUCUCAAACUUUAAAUGGGUGAGAAGCUUGACUUGUUUGAGUAAAGCCAAGCAUCAUUGAAUGAGAAUGCCUAGUGGGCCAUUUUUGGUAAGCAGAACUGGCGCUGUGGGAUGAACCAAACGCCGAGUUAAGGCGCCCGAUGCUGACGCUCAUGAGAUCCCAUGAAAGGUGUUGGUUGCUAUAGACAGCAGGACGGUGGCCAUGGAAGUCGGA
rnacentral:rRNA from 1 species